rnacentral:rRNA from 1 species
AUUGAACGCUGGCGGCAGGCCUAACACAUGCAAGUCGUGCGAGCGGCGGACGGGUGAGUAAUGUAUGGGGACUGCCCGAUGGAGGGGGAUAACUACUGGAAACGGUGGCUAAUACCGCAUACUAUCGGAUAACCCAUAUGGGAUUAGCUGGUAGGUGGGGUAAAGGCUCACCUAGGCGACGAUCCCUAGCUGGUCUGAGAGUAUGAUCAGACACACUGGGACGGGGACACGGCCCAGACUCCUACGGAGGCAGCAGUGGGGAAUAUUGUACAAUGGGCGCAAGCCUGAUGCAGCCAUGCCGCGUGUAUGAAGAAGGCCUUUGGGUUGUAAAGUACUUUCAGUGGGGAGGCGUUACCCGCAGAAGAAGCACCGGCUAACUCCGUGCCAGCAGCCGCGGUAAUUC